UUCGUUGUUUUUUCGCACUUUCUAGCCUUUUUUUCUUCCAUUGCUAUGGCAACGCGCUGUAGUGCCGCGCUUUAAACGGAGACCGCAGCGGGUCUCCAUGCGCCCGUGUAAACUUCUUCUGCAUGAACGCCCGCCUGCUGGGUUUUGCUAUUGAAAUAGUAAGCGAAAGUUUAACGUGUUGUUUUGUUUGUUUGCUUGCUCGAGGCCUGGCUUCAUCAAAUCGAGCAGCAGGAUUAAUAAAAGAGAAACGAGGCCUCGAUCUCCGUCAGAUAAGAAGCUGAUGAGAGGCAGUGUGGAGAUCUCAUCAUCAUCCUCAUGUGUGGGUGAGGAAGAUCACAGUCCUGCUCUGAGCAGACACGACACCCAGAGUCUGGCCGUCACAGCUCAAGACCUGGAGAGGAUUCCCAGAAGUCUAAAUCGAUGACCCGUGCAUACGUCCGUAAGACACGCCCACCAGAUGAGUUCAGCAGAGCGGUCACUGUUGUGAGGCCCCUCCCACACGAUGAUGCCCCGCCCCAUGCAGGUGAGUGGGUGUGGCUUCAGGUCAGAACAGAAAAUUCAGUUUGAUUGAUGAUUUAGACUCUCUUACCAAAUUUGAUAUAUUUAUAUUUAAAUUUUAAUUCCGCUUCUCAAGACUGGUAAGAAAUCAUAAAACGUG